rnacentral:lncRNA from 1 species
AAUAGUUAAUUAAUUGAGUAAUUUUUUUUGUUGAGGAUUAAGGUAUGUUAAUUUUUGUUUUGGUCAUUAUUGUUGUAGAUCCAGUCGGAAGGACUUUUGUGUUUUCGAGUGUAUGUAAUAGAAUCCUAGUAUGACAAGCAAACUCGCUAGCGUUUCUUAGCCUUGUAUGACAAGUGUCACGGGGCUAAUUUUCGCAAAAUUAACACCUUGUAAUAGAAUCCUAGUAUGACAAGGAAAGUCGCUAGUGUUUCUUAGCCUUACCAGUAGUACUAAUACUGUUUUUAUUUCUCUUAUUCCUAGUUUGUUAGUACUAUAUGCGACAUUUGCUCCUAUUGCAUUGUCAUUGUUACUGUUUGUUACUAUAUUUUUAUUAUUCCUUUAUCUAAGAGUCUAUCCGAAACAACCUCUCUAUUUUUACGAGACAAGGAAAAGAUUUGCAC